rnacentral:rRNA from 1 species
AUGAACGCUGGCGGCGUGCCUAAUACAUGCAAGUCGAGCGAACAGACGAGGAGCUUGCUCCUCUGACGUUAGCGGCGGACGGGUGAGUAACACGUGGAUAACCUACCUAUAAGACUGGGAUAACUUCGGGAAACCGGAGCUAAUACCGGAUAAUAUAUUGAACCGCAUGGUUCAAUAGUGAAAGACGGUUUUGCUGUCACUUAUAGAUGGAUCCGCGCCGCAUUAGCUAGUUGGUAAGGUAACGGCUUACCAAGGCGACGAUGCGUAGCCGACCUGAGAGGGUGAUCGGCCACACUGGAACUGAGACACGGUCCAGACUCCUACGGGAGGCAGCAGUAGGGAAUCUUCCGCAAUGGGCGAAAGCCUGACGGAGCAACGCCGCGUGAGUGAUGAAGGUCUUCGGAUCGUAAAACUCUGUUAUUAGGGAAGAACAAAUGUGUAAGUAACUAUGCACGUCUUGACGGUACCUAAUCAGAAAGUCACGGCUAACUACGUG